rnacentral:rRNA from 1 species
UCGCGAAAACUUUGCAAUACACGAAAGUGUGACAGGGCUAUCCCGAGUGCCAUCCGCUGAGGAAGGCUUUUACCCAGUCUAGAACGCUGGGGGAAUAAGGAGAGGGCAAGUCUGGUGUCAGCCGCCGCGGUAAUACCAGCUCUCCGAGUGGUGUGGAUGUUUAUUGGGCCUAAAGCAUCCGUAGCUGGCUAAGUUAGUCCCUUGUUAAAUCCACCGAAUUAAUCGUUGGAUUGCGGGGGAUACUGCUUGGCUAGGGGACGAGAGAGGCAGACGGUAUUUCCGGGGUAGGGGUGAAAUCCUAUAAUCCCGGGAAGACCACCAGUGGCGAAGGCUGUCUGCUAGAACGCGCCCGACGGUGAGGGAUGAAAGCUGGGGGAGCGAACCGGAUUAGAUACCCGGGUAGUCCCAGCUGUAAACGAUGCAGGCUAGGUGUUUGGACGGCCACGUGCCGUUCUAGUGCCGCAGGGAAGCUGUUAAGCCUGCCGCCUGGGGAGUACGAUCGCAAGAUUGAAACUUAAAGGAAUUGGCGGGGG